AAUUUAUUUUGCACUUCUGUAUUACAUGGAAUGAUUAUUAUUUGUAUAGUAUAUUUACCAAAAAAAAUAAGUGCUGGCCUCCUGUUAUUGACCAUGAAGGCUAAUCAAGACCGGUGGUCAUUAAUAUAUUACAAUAGUAUUAUUUAAAGAGUGUCACAAGAAGGUGCAAUCAAAGUUAAAAAGAUUAGAGAGCAAAGUGCACAAAACACACAAAGUAAAAAAAAAACCCAACAGAACAACAGGAACAAAACAAAACAAAAAUCAACACAAGACAAAAAAAAAGGAAAGAAAAAAAAUAUGAUUGACUCAUACACAUAUAGUAAUUACACGGAUAGCUAGUAGUAAUCAAUUAACUGUUGUUUUAAUUUUUGUUUAAAAGAAGAUUCGCUCAGAGAUUUAAUAGACUCAUCAAUAUCAUUCCAGGUCUUAGGGACCGGUCAUUAUUUAUGGCGGGGGGUGGCACCGAAGAGAAAAAGGCUGGGUAAUCAAAAUUUUGAGUAAGUAAAAGGUUGGGUAAAUGAAAAACAAAACAACUCAAGGGUUGGGUAAUAAAAUUUAUUGUCAUUUCCAAAGC